GAUCUGGAAAUGAAGGGACAGGAGGCAGCAUCAGAGAGGGAUCCAGGAGUCCACUCCCAGAGGCCUCCACUUACUCCAUCUGAGGAGACCUGGUCCCAUCAACACUCUGAAGCUCAUGAAUUUCCCCUGGGAGAAGCUCGGGGCAGAAUUCAGAAUAAGAAGUACCUCAUCUCGCUCACCCCCUCUCAGGGUACCGGGUGUCCUUCCUGAGGGAAGGGGUGGAGACAAAGAGAACUCAACAACACGCAAGUGAGCUUUACUGACUUGUCCCCACACCCAAUGGGGCAGGUCUGAUGGUCUCUUUCUGAGAAGGGAACAGGCUCAUAGUUUACGGAGGGUCGUCGGAUGAGUGGGAAAUCAUUCACUGCUGUCCCGUAGGAUGAAUCUGCGACCUUGUCUUUGGACCAGGAUGUGUUCAACCUUUCAGGGUCAUAGCAACAAAUAUCAGCCCAGCCUCGAGUACAGUGAGGACAGUGUCAUGGUGACCGAGGUGCAAGUCUGCCCAGCUUGUUCCACACUCAGGCCUGGAUGUUCUCACGUGCUGAGGGAGCUCUCAGAGUGCCCUGACCUCAGGAGACCUGCUGGCUGGACAACACCUGAGGGAGGCAAGGAAACUCUCAGGAGGGCUUUCAAACACCAUCCAGCCCACCUGGACCCCAGUGCCAGCAUCAGUUUGCAAGAAAACACAUCAUCCCUGGAGAAGUGGCACUUACGCGUCUGACAGAGCUAGACAAAUAGAUUCAGUCAUAUGCUUGGUUCAAAUGUGGAUAGAAUCUCUGCACAUGGCAGGUAAUAGCUACCAAGUCCGAGGAGGGUGAAGCUGGAACAUUGUCCCUGUAGGGG